rnacentral:misc_RNA from 1 species
AAAGCGCGAUAGGUAGUGUGAAUUGCAGAAUUCCGUGAAUCAUCGAAUUUUUGAACGCAUAUUGCGCCCUUGCUCUCGGGCUUGGGCAUGUCUGCCUCAGCGUCGUUAUUAAUGGCUCUACAACCAAUCUGGUUCUUACCAUAGUUUUGGUAUGGACUCAAGUAAUGACUUGCACCUAGUGCAACGGUCAACAGCAUCCUUGUUGGGUACUGUUCAUUGUUAGCAAACUUUUAAGUAUGUUUAAUGUGAAUUGUACAUGACUGCAAGGCAAUGCCUGUAAUCACCAUUCGACCUGAGUUUAGGCAGGGCUACCCGCUGAACUUAAGC